ACAUGACUUUUCUAGAGAAGAUGAGAAGGAACUAAUUUUAAACACCUGGCCUUGGUCUGAUGCAUCCGUUACCUCCACCAGAAAGGAUGGCUAAAGGCAGAAGAGCCUGAGAGAGGAGACCCACGUGGCACACACUGCCGUACACUUCCACAAAGACUGGAUUUUUCCAUAGUCAGAAGGCAGCUGAACUCCAUAGGAUAUGAUGUGAGCAAGAGCAGGUUAGCAAGGAAACAGGGUGAUCUUAUGCAAGAGGCUGUAGACCAGCAGCGUGUUAACUUUGGAGUCCAACAGAACGGGCUUCAUUCCCCGCCACAGCCACUGACCAAAAUGACACUGGGCCAAGCCAUUUCAGCUCUCUGUGCCUCUCAUUGCUUGUCUGUAAAAUGAGAGUAAUAACAUACCUACUUCUUAGGCUUGUCAUGAGAAUUAAAUGAAAUAGUUAAAAAUAUUGCACAAUUUUGAUAUGUAUCUG
rnacentral:lncRNA from 10 species